rnacentral:lncRNA from 1 species
AGCAGAAUUGCCCUGCUUUGCACCAAUGGUACAGCAGUCUGACCUCUAUCAUUAGAGCCGCAUUUUUAAAACCACAGUUCAAAAAGUCACGUCUUCUUGCUUGGUGCUAUGUCAGUAGACUAAGCUCUCACCACGUGGUGGUACUGAUGGGCAUCCUAUACUUCAGUAACAGCUCAUCAAUCCCAUCAAUAAUUGCAACCUGAUUUCCACCGAAGGCAGCCAAGACCAAGGAGGCAAUGAUGAGAAAA